rnacentral:rRNA from 1 species
AUUGAACGCUGGCGGCGUGCCUAACACAUGCAAGUCGAGCGGUAACAGGUGUAGCAAUACAUGCUGACGAGCGGCGAACGGGUGAGUAAUGCUUCGGAAUCUUCCCAGUAGUGGGGAAUAACUAGCCGAAAGGUUAGCUAAUACCGCAUACGUCCUACGGGAGAAAGCAGGGGAUCGCAAGACCUUGCGCUAUUGGAUGAGCCGAAGUCGGAUUAGCUAGUUGGUAGGGUAACGGCCUACAAAGGCGACAAUCCGUAGCUGGUCUGAGAGGACGACCAGCCACACUGGGACUGAGACACGGCCCAGACUCCUACGGGAGGCAGCAGUGGGGAAUAUUGGACAAUGGGGGAAACCCUGAUCCAGCAACGCCGCGUGCGUGAAGAAGGCCUGCGGGUUGUAAAGCACUUUUAGUGGGGAUGAAAAGCCAACGGCUAAUACCUCUGGGUCUUGACCUAACCCACAGAAAAAGCACCGGCUAACUCUGUGCCAGCAGCCGCGGUAAUAC